rnacentral:rRNA from 1 species
UGAUCCUGGCUCAGGAUGAACGCUAGCGGCAGGCCUAACACAUGCAAGUCGAGGGGUAACAGGAAAGCUUGCUUUUGCUGACGACCGGCGCACGGGUGCGUAACGCGUAUGCAACCUACCUCAUACAGGAGGAUAGCCCUUGGAAACGAGGAUUAAUACUCCAUGGUAUCAUGAAUUCGCAUGUUUUUAUGAUUAAAGUAUUACGGUAUGAGAUGGGCAUGCGUCCCAUUAGCUAGUUGGUGAGGUAACGGCUCACCAAGGCGACGAUGGGUAGGGGGCCUGAGAGGGUGGUCCCCCACACUGGUACUGAGACACGGACCAGACUCCUACGGGAGGCAGCAGUGAGGAAUAUUGGUCAAUGGAGGCAGCUCUGAACCAGCCAUGCCGCGUGAAGGAUGACGGCCCUAUGGGUUGUAAACUUCUUUUAUAGAGGAAGAAACUUGUCUACGUGUAGACAAUUGACGGUACUCUACGAAUAAGGAUCGGCUAACUCCGUGCCAGCAGCCGCGGUAAUACGGAGGAUCCAAGCGUUAUCCGGAUUCAUUGGGUUUAAAGGGUCCGUAGGCGGGUCUUUAAGUCAGUGGUGAAAGCCGACAGCUCAACUGUCGAACUGCCAUUGAUACUGGAGACCUUGAGUACAAAUGAAGUAGGCGGAAUGAGUCAUGUAGCGGUGAAAUGCAUAGAUAUGACUCAGAACACCGAUUGCGAAGGCAGCUUACUAACAUGUAACUGACGCUGAGGGACGAAAGCGUGGGGAGCGAACAGGAUUAGAUACCCUGGUAGU